rnacentral:rRNA from 1 species
UACGUAGGUGGCAAGCGUUGUCCGGAUUUACUGGGCGUAAAGAGCGCGCAGGCGGUCGUUCAAGUCGCGUGUGAAAGCCCCCGGCUCAACUGGGGAGGGUCACGCGAUACUGAUCGACUCGAAGGCAGGAGAGGGAAGUGGAAUUCCCGGUGUAGUGGUGAAAUGCGUAGAUAUCGGGAGGAACACCAGUGGCGAAAGCGGCAUCCUGGACCGGUAUUGACGCUGAGGCGCGAAAGCCAGGGGAGCAAACGGG